GACGAACGCUGGCGGCGUGCUUAACACAUGCAAGUCGAACGGAAAGGCUCCAGCUUGCUGGAGUACUCGAGUGGCGAACGGGUGAGUAACACGUGGGUAAUCUGCCCUGCACUCUGGGAUAAGCCUGGGAAACUGGGUCUAAUACUGGAUAUGACCUUUCUCCUUAUGGGGUUUGGUGGAAAGUUUUUCGGUGUAGGAUGAGCCCGCGGCCUAUCAGCUUGUUGGUGGGGUGAUGGCCUACCAAGGCGACGACGGGUAGCCGGCCUGAGAGGGUGAUCGGCCACAUUGGGACUGAGAUACGGCCCAGACUCCUACGGGAGGCAGCAGUGGGGAAUAUUGCACAAUGGGCGGAAGCCUGAUGCAGCGACGCCGCGUGAGGGAUGACGGCCUUCGGGUUGUAAACCUCUUUCAGCAGGGACGAAGCGUAAGUGACGGUACCUGCAGAAGAGGCACCGGCUAACUAUG
rnacentral:rRNA from 1 species